UUUUUCUCCUUCCUCGCAGCCGCGCCGGGGAGCUCGCGGCGCGCGGCCCCUGUCCUCCGGCCCGAGAUGAAUGCUGCGGCAGAAGCCGAGUUUAACAUCCUCCUGGCCACCGACUCCUACAAGGUUACUCACUAUAAACAGUAUCCACCCAACACAAGCAAAGUUUAUUCCUACUUUGAAUGCCGUGAAAAGAAGACAGAAAACUCCAAAUUAAGGAAGGUGAAAUAUGAGGAAACAGUAUUUUAUGGGUUGCAGUACAUUCUUAAUAAGUACUUAAAAGGUAAAGUAGUAACCAAAGAGAAAAUCCAGGAAGCCAAAGACGUCUACAAAGAACAUUUCCAAGAUGAUGUCUUUAAUGAAAAGGGAUGGAACUACAUUCUUGAGAAAUAUGAUGGGCAUCUUCCAAUAGAAAUAAAAGCUGUUCCUGAGGGUUUUGUCAUUCCUAGAGGAAAUGUUCUCUUCACGGUGGAGAACACGGAUCCAGAGUGUUACUGGCUUACAAAUUGGAUUGAGUUUAGGUCCUAGGAUCUACCAUCUGUUUUCAGUUUCUCAUCUAAAUAUAAACAAGAUCUGCUAUU
rnacentral:sRNA from 1 species